rnacentral:rRNA from 1 species
UGGGGAAUAUUGCACAAUGGGCGCAAGCCUGAUGCAGCCAUGCCGCGUGUAUGAAGAAGGCCUUCGGGUUGUAAAGCACUUUCAGCGGGGAGGAAGGCGAUAAGGUUAAUAACCUUGUCGAUUGACGUUACCCGCAGAAGAAGCACCGGCUAACUCCGUGCCAGCAGCCGCGGUAAUACGGAGGGUGCAAGCGUUAAUCGGAAUUACUGGGCGUAAAGCGCACGCAGGCGGUCUGUCAAGUCGGAUGUGAAAACCCCGGGCUUAACCUGGGAACUGCAUUCGAAACUGGGAGGAUAGAGUCUUGUAGAGGGGGGUAGAAUUCCAGGUGUAGCGGUGAAAUGCGUAGAGAUCUGGAGGAAGACCGGUGGCGAAGGCGGCCCCCUGGACAAAGACUGACGCUCAGGUGCGAAAGCGUGGGGAGCAAACAGG